UACGGAGGGGGCUAGCGUUGCUCGGAAUUACUGGGCGGAAAGCGCACGUAGGCGGCCAUGAUAGUCAGAUGUGAAAGGCCUGGGCUUAACCCGGGAACUGCAUUUGAUACUGCAUGGCUAGAGUCCAAGAGAGGGUAGUGGAAUUCCCAGUGUAGAGGUGAAAUUCGUAGAUAUUGGGAAGAACCCCAGUGGCGAAGGCGGCUACCUGGCUUGGUACUGACGCUGAGGCGCGAAAGCGUGGGGAGCGAACAGG
rnacentral:misc_RNA from 1 species